UCAGUAGGAAGAGCGUCAGUCUCAUAAUCUGAAGGUCGAGAGUUCGAACCUCCCCUGGAGCA
rnacentral:tRNA from 1 species